UGGCUCAGAGGUUAAAGUGUCUGCCUCCAAUGCAGGAGACCUGGGUUCAAUCCCUG
rfam:TPA: Bos taurus chromosome 3, whole genome shotgun sequence.